GAUAUGGAUCAAAAUGCAUAAACAAGACAAGGUGCAAUGAGCAUUUAAAAACAAUUUGAAGUUAUUAGAAAAGGUCCUAACUGUGUGUCCAGCAGUCACAGAACUGGAAAAACCACUGCACUCUGGUACCUGAGUCCCUGAAAAGGGGAAAAACUGGAAGAAUUGAGAUGAUCACAGCACGCUCAAGGAAAUUAAAGCUACUCCGGAUUGCAGGAAAAUGCAGGAAUUUCCUGGUAUCCCUACUGGUUUGAGCCUCAUAGUUAUUCAAGAAAGCAUUAUCAAUCAGCCUUUGUGAUAAGACUAUCAGCCGUGGAGGAUCCAACAGUCCAGGAUGAGCCUUGUUGAGCUGGUGGGAGCUGUGGUGCUGUAAUUGUCAUCUGAAUCAUUUGAACUCCUUGAUGAACAACUUAGUGAAAGAAGAAAAAAAUCUCAAGUGAUCUUUCCAUUUGUUCAAGAUAUAUAGUAAUUCUGUUUUUCUGUUAUUCUGCCACUUACUCGGAGCAGUCACAUUAUCAUUGUGUU